GACGAACGCUGGCGGCGUGCUUAACACAUGCAAGUCGAACGGAAAGGCCCUGCUUGCAGGGUACUCGAGUGGCGAACGGGUGAGUAACACGUGGGUGAUCUGCCCUGCACUUCGGGAUAAGCCUGGGAAACUGGGUCUAAUACCGGAUAGGAGCCAUUUUUAGUGUGAUGGUUGGAAAGUUUUUUCGGUGUAGGAUGAGCUUGCGGCCUAUCAGCUUGUUGGUGGGGUAAUGGCCUACCAAGGCGGCGACGGGUAGCCGGCCUGGGUGGGUGGACGGCCACAUUGGGGCUGAGAGACGGCCCAGACUCCUACGGGAGGCAGCAGGGGGGAAUAUUGCACAAUGGGCGCAAGCCUGAUGCAGCGACGCCGCGUGGGGGAUGACGGCCUUCGGGUUGUAAACUCCUUUCGCUAGGGACGGAGCUUUUUGUGACGGUACCUAGAUAAGAAGCACCGGCUAACUACGUG
rnacentral:rRNA from 1 species